CGGCAGACGGGUGAGUAACGCGUGGGAACAUACCUUUUGGUUCGGAGCAACACAGGGAAACUUGUGCUAAUACCGGAUAAGCCCUUACGGGGAAAGAUUUAUCGCCGAAAGAUUGGCCCGCGUCUGAUUAGCUAGUUGGUGAGGUAACGGCUCACCAAGGCGACGAUCAGUAGCUGGUCUGAGAGGACGAUCAGCCACACUGGGACUGAGACACGGCCCAG
rnacentral:rRNA from 1 species